CCUACGGGUGGCAGCAGUGGGGAAUCUUGCGCAAUGCGCGAAAGCGUGACGCAGCAACGCCGCGUGGGGGAAGAAGGCCUUCGGGUUGUAAACCCCUUUCAGUUGGGACGAAGCUCCGCCGGUGAAUAGCCGGCCGGAGUGACGGUACCUUCACAAGAAGCCCCGGCUAACUACGUGCCAGCAGCCGCGGUAAUACGUAGGGGGCAAGCGUUGUCCGGAAUCAUUGGGCGUAAAGCGCGUGUAGGCGGCUCGAUAAGUCUGCUGUGAAAGUCCAGGGCUCAACCCUGGGAUGCCGGUGGAUACUGUCGAGCUCGAGUCCGGAAGAGGCGAGUGGAAUUCCUGGUGUAGCGGUGAAAUGCGCAGAUAUCAGGAGGAACACCAAUGGCGAAGGCAGCUCGCUGGGACGUGACUGACGCUGAGACGCGAAAGCGUGGGGAGCA
rnacentral:rRNA from 1 species